UGGGGGAAUAUUGGGCAAUGGGGCGAAAGCCUGACCCAGCAACGCCGCGUGGAGGAAGAAGGUUUUCGGUAUCGUAAACUCCUGUCCUCAGGGAAGAGAAGAAGACGGUACCUGAGGAGGAAGCCCCGGCUAACUACGUGCCAGCAGCCGCGGUAAUACGUAGGGGGCGAAGCGUUGUCCGGAAUGAUUGGGCGUAAAGGGCGCGUAGGCGGCCCGGUAAGUCUGGAGUGAAAGUCCUGCCUUCAAGGUGGGAAUUGCUUUGGAUACUGUCGGGCUUGAGUGCAGGAGAGGUAAGUGGAAUUCCCAGUGUAGCGGUGAAAUGCGU
rnacentral:rRNA from 1 species